AUUGAACGCUGGCGGCAUGCCUUACACAUGCAAGUCGAACGGCAGCACGGGUGCUUGCACCUGGUGGCGAGUGGCGAACGGGUGAGUAAUACAUCGGAACAUACCUUAUCGUGGGGGAUAACGCAGCGAAAGCUGUGCUAAUACCGCAUACGCCCUGAGGGGGAAAGCGGGGGAUCGCAAGACCUCGCGCGAUUAGAGCGGCCGAUGCCUGAUUAGCUUGUUGGUGGGGUAAAAGCCCACCGAGGCGACGAUCAGUAGCUGAUCUGAGAGGACGAUCAGCCAAACUGGGACUGAGACACGGCCCAGACUCCUACGGGAGGCAGCAGUGGGGAAUUUUGGACAAUGGGGGCAACCCUGAUCCAGCAAUGCCGCGUGAGUGAAGAAGGCCUUCGGGUUGUAAAGCCCUGUCGGGUGGAAAGAACGACUGUGGGGCGAAUAGUCCUACAGUGUGACGGUACCACCGAAGGAAGCACCGGCCAAUUCCGUGCCAGCCGCCGCAGUAA
rnacentral:rRNA from 1 species